UUCAUUUGUCAGUUAUGAAGCAGACACAGACACACGACGAGAUAGAAAAUCCUCGUCCUUGUCCUGGUCCUGGCCCUGGCCUGUGUACAUUUGUUAUAUCCUUAUCACAAAAUGAUUUGACAGUCGAGACCGAGUCGAGUCGAGGCAGUUGAACCUCGACAGCCCCAAAAUAUGUGUAACACUCGCAUUUCAUUCUCUAUCCCACCGGACGAAGCCUUGGGCAAUUUAAGGGAUUUACUCAACUUCUCCAGCCUGCCAGUCCUCCUAGUCCUGCCACUCCUGCCACCUUGAAACGGAAUCAUUCUGGGAUAGAUAAAUAUUUAUUUUAUUUUAUUUUGCACAUGUCCCAUGUUCUCACAUUGACCAGACAGUGACACGUCUUCUAAACUGCUGUCGUUGGAAAUAAUUUCAAUUUCAUUUCCUUGGCUCCUUGGCAAAAAAAAAUCCUUGCGAAAAAAAGAAAAGAAAAUGAAAAUCAAUAGGCAUUUACACCAAAUUGACCUUUCACUCACGAGCAGAUGAAAAUUUCAUAAGCAAUUGAUUGUGCACUUGGAGAGCUGUGAAAUCCCUUUGAAAUAUUGAUGCGGAUCCUGGACAUGGGCUAGGAUUGUAAGGAUUAUUUUCGGAUGAAGGAGCAGGGCAGCUUGUCCUUGUUUACACAUAUUGGAUAAUUAAUGGACCAUUCAAUCUAAACGGUUUAGUGCUGUUCCUGUGACCGCACAGUUUUAUGGCUUCGGCCAGACUAAAGUGCCGCCUAAUAAGCUUAAACUUAAUUAAGAACUUAUCAACAGCUGCGUUAAAAUGCCAAUUUGGCAGGCUUUGCCAGUUGCCAGUUACCAGUUGCCCUUGGCAAAGCCAGCCAGCCAGCCAUCUAUCCCGACCACAGCCACCGAGUUGCGAAGGCCAACAAAUUGCAUUACCCCUGAUUUUACCGCACUACUUUGGCAAACUCGCUCUUUUCUCUGAAUUAAUCGUGGGCUUUAAGGGUCGUCCUUUCGUCCUUUGAAUUAGUUAUUUCCAACGUGGGCAACUUCAAAGGUGUGCUGCGAACAUGUCAUAACAUGGGGAAAUUAAAAUUUACAUCACAACUUAAGCGACGUCCUGGCGCAGCAUCUCGUCCCCAUGGAUACCCGUUUUUUAUCCAAAGUUUUUUUGUGUGUUUGCUUGUUGUUUUUUUUUGUAUUUUGCUCCGUUGCGUUGCUCCUUUUUGGCAGGCAGAGCACUUAAUUUGGCACAUUGCCUUGCAUAUCCUGGCAGCAGGACGACGACAACAAUCCGCUCAGGUGCAGCCACAGUGGCGGCAACAAGCAGCAUUUUGUUGUAAAAUGCAUAAAUUUUUACUACCUGCCAGUAAAGGAAAAACAGCAGCAGCGGCAGCUAGUGUUGCCAAUUUUGGGAAGGAUGGGUAAAAAAUGGCUCAAAGGAAGCAAGGAAUCGAGUACGAAGUGGCUUUUAAAAUGUGUAUUUAGAAGUAUCAAAUAAUUAAAC